rnacentral:rRNA from 1 species
UACGUAGGGGGCAAGCGUUGUCCGGAAUCAUUGGGCGUAAAGAGCGCGUAGGCGGUCCGGUAAGUCUGCUGUGAAAGUCCAGGGCUCAACCCUGGGAUGCCGGUGGAUACUGUCGAGCUCGAGUCCGGAAGAGGCGAGUGGAAUUCCUGGUGUAGCGGUGAAAUGCGCAGAUAUCAGGAGGAACACCAAUGGCGAAGGCAGCUCGCUGGGACGUGACUGACGCUGAGACGCGAAAGCGUGGGGAGCAAACAGG